UCCGGUUCUUCACCAGCAGUCUCCUUAGAGUCCCCACCAUAACGUGCUGGUAACUAGGGAUAAGGGUUGCGCUCGUUAAGGGACUUAACCCGACAUCUCACGAUACGAGCUGACGACAGCCAUGCAGCACCUGUCUCACUGCCCCCGAAGGGGAAACCGUAUCUCUACGGCUGUCAGUGGAUGUCAAACCCAGGUAAGGUUCUUCGCGUUGCAUCGAAUUAAACCACAUGCUCCACCGCUUGUGCGGGCCCCCGUCAAUUCCUUUGAGUUUUAACCUUGCGGCCGUACUUCCCAGGCGGGGUACUUAAUGCGUUAGCGUCGGCACUGCAGGGGUCAAUUCCUGCAACACCUAGUACCCAUCGUUUACAGCGUGGACUAC
rnacentral:misc_RNA from 1 species